rnacentral:rRNA from 1 species
CCUACGGGAGGCUGCAGUGGGGAAUAUUGGACAAUGGGCGCAAGCCUGAUCCAGCCAUGCCGCGUGAGUGAUGAAGGCCUUAGGGUUGUAAAGCUCUUUUAUCCGGGACGAUAAUGACGGUACCUGAGGAAUAAGCCACGGCUAACUUCGUGCCAGCAGCCGCGGUAAUACGAAGGGGGCUAGCGUUGCUCGGAAUCACUGGGCGUAAAGGGCGCGUAGGCGGCGUUUUAAGUCGGGGGUGAAAGCCUGUGGCUCAACCACAGAAUGGCCUUCGAUACUGGGACGCUUGAGUAUGGUAGAGGUUGGUGGAACUGCGAGUGUAGAGGUGAAAUUCGUAGAUAUUCGCAAGAACACCGGUGGCGAAGGCGGCCAACUGGACCAUUACUGACGCUGAGGCGCGAAAGCGUGGGGAGCAAACAGGAUUAGAUACCCCUGUAGUCCA